rnacentral:rRNA from 1 species
UGGCGACCAUAGCAAGAGUGAACCACCUGAUCCCUUCCCGAACUCAGAAGUGAAACCUCUUAGCGCUGAUGGUAGUGUGGGGUUACCCAUGUGA